UCGAGUCUGGCGCCUGUAUUUGCAGCAACUCUAUCCGAUCACGAAACUCCUGCCGAAAAAUGCGAAGAGGAUGAAGAAGGAUUUGACGGUUGCUCAGAAUAUCUUUACAGUAUACAAGAAAAGCUGGGUAUAUUGAACAAUGGAGAGGUGUAUGCUGUAUUCUCUUACGAAUCUCAGCAGCCUGAUGAAUUAAGCUUCUUUGUCAACGACACGCUGACUAUCAUCCGGAAAGGAGAUGAAGCUGAACGAGAAUGGUGGUGGGCUCGCAGCUCCUUAGGUAGCGAAGGUUACGUCCCGAGAAAUUUACUUGGGCUCCACCCGAGACUUACUCCAUCGUACAAUGACGAAAAUUAGGAUUGAAUUUUGUAUGAUUCUACAUAAUAUAAUUUUACUGAUCAACUUGGUUAAUGUAUCAUUCUGCGGUCACAAAGAGUCAAAUAUACAGGUGUCCCCGAGAUACGACUGUAUUUGGGACCGAAAAAAUGUCCCAAAACAAGGCGUAAGUCGAAAAAGUCGCAUGUCGAAUAUCUCUGAAUACAAAGUUUAUAACCGAAGUUGAAGAGUUGGAAUUUAUGAUAUCGUGUAUUUUAUUUAAAAUAACGUUCGAUAAUGUAAU